rnacentral:rRNA from 1 species
GGGCAGCAUGGUCUUAGCUUGCUAAGGCCGAUGGCGACCGGCGCACGGGUGAGUAACACGUAUCCAACCUGCCGUCUACUCUUGGACAGCCUUCUGAAAGGAAGAUUAAUACAAGAUGGCAUCAUGAGUCCGCAUGUUCACAUGAUUAAAGGUAUUCCGGUAGACGAUGGGGAUGCGUUCCAUUAGAUAGUAGGCGGGGUAACGGCCCACCUAGUCUUCGAUGGAUAGGGGUUCUGAGAGGAAGGUCCCCCACAUUGGAACUGAGACACGGUCCAAACUCCUACGGGAGGCAGCAGUGAGGAAUAUUGGUCAAUGGGCGAGAGCCUGAACCAGCCAAGUAGCGUGAAGGAUGACUGCCCUAUGGGUUGUAAACUUCUUUUAUAAAGGAAUAAAGUCGGGUAUGGAUACCCGUUUGCAUGUACUUUAUGAAUAAGGAUCGGCUAACUCCGUGCCAGCAGCCGCGGUAAUACGGAGGAUCCGAGCGUUAUCCGGAUUUAUUGGGUUUAAAGGGAGCGUAGAUGGAUGUUUAAGUCAGUUGUGAAAGUUUGCGGCUCAACCGUAAAAUUGCAGUUGAUACUGGAUAUCUUGAGUGCAGUUGAGGCAGGCGGAAUUCGUGGUGUAGCGGUGAAAUGCUUAGAUAUCACGAAGAACUCCGAUUGCGAAGGCAGCCUGCUAAGCUGCAACUGACAUUGAGGCUCGAAAGUGUGGGUAUCAAACAGG